UCUGCAACUCGAGUGCAUGAAGCUGGAAUCGCUAGUAAUCGCGGAUCAGAAUGCCGCGGUGAAUUACGUUCCCGGGUCUUGUACACACCGCCCGUCACACCAUGGGAGUCGGGAAUGCCCGAAGCCGGUGGCCCAAUCGAGAGAAGGGAGCCGUCGAAGGCAGGCCGGAUGACUGGGGUGAAGUCGUAACAAGGUAAC
rnacentral:rRNA from 1 species